CCUACGGGGGGCUGCAGUGGGGAAUAUUGGACAAUGGGGGGAACCCUGAUCCAGCCAUGCCGCGUGUGGGAAGAAGGCCCUCGGGUUGUAAAGCACUUUCAGUGAGGAAGAACGCCUGGUGGUUAAUACCCAUCAGGAAAGACAUCACUCACAGAAGAAGCACCGGCUAACUCCGUGCCAGCAGCCGCGGUAAUACGGAGGGUGCGAGCGUUAAUCGGAAUUACUGGGCGUAAAGCGCGCGUAGGUGGCUUGAUAAGCCGGUUGUGAAAGCCCCGGGCUCAACCUGGGAACGGCAUCCGGAACUGUCAAGCUAGAGUGCAGGAGAGGAAGGUAGAAUUCCCGGUGUAGCGGUGAAAUGCGUAGAGAUCGGGAGGAAUACCAGUGGCGAAGGCGGCCUUCUGGACUGACACUGACACUGAGGUGCGAAGGCGUGGGUAGCAAACAGGAUUAGAUACCCCGGUAGUC
rnacentral:rRNA from 1 species